rnacentral:rRNA from 1 species
UGCGUAGGCGGCGCGGUAAGUCGGGUGUGAAAUCUCGGAGCUUAACUCCGAAACUGCAUUCGAUACUGCCGUGCUUGAGGACUGGAGAGGAGACUGGAAUUUACGGUGUAGCGGUGAAAUGCGUAGAUAUCGUAAGGAAGACCAGUGGCGAAGGCGGGUCUCUGGACAGUUCCUGACGCUGAGGCAAGGCCAGGGGAGCAAACG